AACUUUCAACAACGGAUCUCUUGGUUCCGGCAUCGAUGAAGAACGCAGCGAAAUGCGAUACGUAAUGUGAAUUGCAAAUUCAGUGAAUCAUCAAGUCUUUGAACGCACAUUGCGCCCCCUGGUUUCCGGGGGGCAUGCCUGUCCGAGCGUCAUU
rnacentral:rRNA from 1 species